UCGAGCGGAACGAUCCUAGCUUGCUAGGAGGCGUCGAGCGGCGGACGGGUGAGUAAUGCAUAGGAAUCUGCCCGGUAGUGGGGGAUAACUUGAGGAAACUCAAGCUAAUACCGCAUACGCCCUACGGGGGAAAGCAGGGGCUCUUCGGACCUUGCGCUAUCGGAUGAGCUUAUGUCGGAUUAGCUGGUUGGUGAGGUAACGGCUCACCAAGGCGACGAUCCGUAGCUGGUCUGAGAGGAUGAUCAGCCACAUCGGGACUGAGACACGGCCCGAACUCCUACGGGAGGCAGCAGUGGGGAAUAUUGGACAAUGGGGGCAACCCUGAUCCAGCCAUGCCGCGUGUGUGAAGAAGGCCCUCGGGUUGUAAAGCACUUUCAGCGAGGAAGAAUGCUUGUCGGUUAAUACCCGGCAAGGGAGACAUCACUCGCAGAAGAAGCACCGGCUAACUCCGUGCCAGCAGCCGCGGUAAUACGGAGGGUGCGAGCGUUAAUCGGAAUUACUGGGCGUAAAGCGUGCGUAGGCGGCUUGAUAAGCCGGUUGUGAAAGCCCCGGGCUCAACCUGGGAACGGCAUCCGGAACUGUUAGGCUAGAGUGCAGGAGAGGAAGGUAGAAUUCCCGGUGUAGCGGUGAAAUGCGUAGAGAUCGGGAGGAAUACCAGUGGCGAAGGCGGCCUUCUGGACUGACACUGACGCUGAGGUACGAAAGCGUGGGUAGCAAACAGGAUUAGAUACCCUGGUAGUCCACGCCGUAAACGAUGUCGACUAGCCGUUGGGGUCCUCGAGACCUUUGUGGCGCAGUUAACGCACUAAGUCGACCGCCUGGGGAGUACGGCCGCAAGGUUAAAACUCAAAUGAAUUGACGGGGGCCCGCACAAGCGGUGGAGCAUGUGGUUUAAUUCGAUGCAACGCGAAGAACCUUACCUACCCUUGACAU
rnacentral:rRNA from 1 species